UACGUAGGGGGCGAGCGUUGUCCGGAUUUACUGGGCGUAAAGCGCGUGUAGGCGGCUCGGAAAGUCGGAUGUGAAAGCCCUGGGCUUAACCUAGGAAGUGCAUUCGAAACUCCCGAGCUUGAGUUCUGGAGAGGAAGGCGGAAUUCUCGGUGUAGAGGUGAAAUUCGUAGAUAUCGAGAGGAACACCGGUGGCGAAGGCGGCCUUCUGGACAGUGACUGACGCUGAGACGCGAAAGCGUGGGGAGCAAACAGG
rnacentral:rRNA from 1 species